rnacentral:rRNA from 2 species
UUUUCUGCCACCGAAUACAUUAGCAUGGGAUAAUGGAAUAGGACCCUGUCCUCCUAUUUUCAGUUGGUUUUGGCAGCGCGAGGACUAGGGUAAUGAUUAAUAGGGAUAGUUGGGGGCAUUAAUAUUUAAUUGUCAGAGGUGAAAUUCUUGGAUUUAUGAAAGAUUAACUUCUGCGAAAGCAUCUGCCAAGGAUGUUUUCAUUAAUCAAGAACGAAAGUUAGGGGAUCGAAGACGAUCAGAUACCGUCGUAGUCUUAACCAUAAACGAUGCCGACCAGCGAUUAGGAGACGUUGAAUACAAAACACCACCAUCGGCGCGGUCGUCCUUGGCGUGUCAGCUUCACGGCUGGCGCGCGAGGGCGGUUUAGCCCGGUGGCACCGGUGAAUGACUCCCCUAGCAGCUUGUGAGA